GACGAACGCUGGCGGCGUGCCUAACACAUGCAAGUCGAACGGUCCGGCGCUCAACCGACCCUCAGUCUAACUGUAGGGGAAGUUGAGUGCCGGGUAGUGGCGGACGGGUGAGUAACGCGUGGGCAACCAACCCUGUACAGUGGGAUAACACCGGGAAACCGGUGCUAAUACCGCAUGACACCUAUAUGGUGCAUACCGUAUAGGUUAAAGGAUUUAACCGGUACAGGACGGGCCCGCGUCCCAUUAGCUAGUUGGUGAGGUAACGGCCCACCAAGGCGACGAUGGGUAGCCGACCUGAGAGGGUGACCGGCCACACUGGGACUGAGACACGGCCCAGACUCCUACGGGAGGCAGCAGUGGGGAAUAUUGCGCAAUGGGGGAACCCUGACGCAGCGACGCCGCGUGAGCGACGAAGGCCUUCGGGUCGUAAAGCUCUGUUCGUUGGGACGAAGGAAUGACGGUACCCAAGGAGAAAGCCCGGACUAACACGUGCCAGCAGCCGACGGUAAAUCAACGUGUACUAAGACUGCCAAGG
rnacentral:rRNA from 1 species